UACGGAGGGUGCAAGCGUUAAUCGGAUUUAUUGGGUUUAAAGGGUCCGUAGGCGGGAUACUAAGUCAGUGGUGAAAGGCUGUCGCUUAACGAUAGCACUGCCAUUGAUACUGGUAUUCUUGAGUAUAGUUGAGGUGGGCGGAAUAAGUCAUGUAGCGGUGAAAUGCAUAGAUAUGACUUAGAACACCGAUUGCGAAGGCAGCUCACUAAGCUAUUACUGACGCUGAGGGACGAAAGCGUGGGUAGCAAACAGG
rnacentral:misc_RNA from 1 species